rnacentral:rRNA from 1 species
CCCUUAGAUGUUCUGGGCCGCACGCGUGCUACACUGAUGCAUUCAACGAGUCUAAAACCUAGUCUGAUAGGGCUGGGUAAUCUUUUGAAAGUGCAUCGUGAUUGGGAUAGAUGAUUGCAAUUCUUCAUCUUCAACGAGGAAUGCCUAGUAAACGCAAGUCAUCAGCUUGCAUUGAUUACGUCCCUGCCCUUUGUACACACCGCCCGUCGCUCCUACCGAUUGAAUGAUCCGAUGAAUACCAUGGAUUGAGAGUACGAAUAGGUUCGCUUAUUUCUGCUGCUCGAGAAGUGGAGUAAAUCUUAUCAUUUAGAGGAAGGAGAAGUCGUAACA